AAGGAAGAACUGAAAAUAGUAAGCACUGCUAAUCCUUAUCUACCAAGGUUAAAAUCCGUGGCUUCCUUG
rnacentral:tRNA from 1 species